rnacentral:rRNA from 1 species
AUUGAACGCUGGCGGCAGGCCUAACACAUGCAAGUCGAGCGAGCGGCGGACGGGUGAGUAAUGUCUGGGAAACUGCCUGAUGGAGGGGGAUAACUACUGGAAACGGUAGCUAAUACCGCAUACCAUCAGAUGUGCCCAGGUGGGAUUAGCUAGUAGGUGGGGUAACGGCUCACCUAGGCGACGAUCCCUAGCUGGUCUGAGAGGAUGACCAGCCCCACUGGAACUGAGACAACGGUCAGACUCCCUCGGGAGGGCGCAGGGGGGAAUAUUUAACAAUGGGCGCAAGCCUGAUGCAGCCAUGCCGCGUGUGUGAAGAAGGCCUUCGGGUUGUAAAGCACUUUCAGCGGGGAGGCGUUACCCGCAGAAGAAGCACCGGCUAACUCCGUGCCAGCAGCCGCGGUAAUUC